ensembl:lncRNA
CACGGCCUUUCAGUUAGGCUGGACUUUUCCCAGGGACCUUCUGGCAGGAGGAAGUGCAGUUACAACGGGCAGGCCCCACCACCUUCUUCCUCUUCCCCCCCAGGGGCUGAGUCUUGUGAGGUCUCAGCGACAUCAUUGGGACAACAGAUGUUGAAGAGCCUGCAUCUUUCUUGGCCUCCAUCCUUUCUCCGAUGCCCUAGUCUUGGGGGCCAGGGCUCCUUUGAAGAGGACCAUCCUGUAGUGACAACCACCUUGGAGACCUGGCUGCUCCUGCCUCCUGCAUGCCAGCCCCAUCUGGGAGCUGCGCUCUGAUUUGAC